rnacentral:rRNA from 1 species
AUGCUUCCCCGAGCUCACGUUGACCUCACUGUGAGCCCCGCCCGCACCUGUGCAUCCUUUUGUGCUCGUGCCCAAGCUUAUGCGUGCCGACCAUCGUCGCCUGUAGUCUCGCCGCCGCACACCUUUCUGCUGUUUGUGGCCUCGCGCCUGCCAUCGCCGCUGCCUUCAGCUGCUCUUGCUGUUCCUCACUGCAGGCCGCGGCCGCCCACACAUGCGGUAUCCCAUGCAGCUCGCCCCGCCGAGCCCACGCCCGCGGCGGCUCGCCGACCGCACUCCGCUACCGCCCCGACCUCGUCCGCCUCCGCCCACUGCGACGACGGCUGCUCCCACCGUGCCCCCAGCUCGCGCCGGCCGAGCCCCAACGUGCGCGCCCGCAGCCGCUGCUCCCUGCGUGCUGCCGCGAUUGCUCUUGCCACUGCUUGGCCACUAGCUGUUGUUGUUUUAGCUGCUGCUAGCGCUCCUAGCUACUGCUGUGUGCUGCCCUGCUGCUGA